rnacentral:rRNA from 1 species
UACGGAGGGAGCUAGCGUUGUUCGGAAUUACUGGGCGUAAAGCGCACGUAGGCGGCGAUUCAAGUCAGAGGUGAAAGCCCGGGGCUCAACUCCGGAACUGCCUUUAAGACUGCAUCGCUUGAAUCCAGGAGAGGUGAGUGGAAUUCCGAGUGUAGAGGUGAAAUUCGUAGAUAUUCGGAAGAACACCAGUGGCGAAGGCGGCUCACUGGACUGGUAUUGACGCUGAGGUGCGAAAGCGUGGGGAGCAAACAGG